AUUUCUUCCUCCUAUUGAAAAUUAAAAGCAUUUUUGACAUUUACUCUUCAAUUUAUAACAAAUUUUAAUUAUUAUAAAGUUCACUAAAAAAAGCGGACAAAACAAAGUUGUAGCUAGUAGUAGUAGUUUGAGGUUUUUAAUGCCCUACACAUCGACUUAAAGUUGUCUCAAUUCUUCACGGUAAGUAGAUGUCUAUUAAAGUUGUCUCAUUUCUUCACGAAUUGAAUUGAUGUUUACGAGUGUGACAGGAAAAUGAUUUAUCAUGACAGCUUCGUAUAUUCCACCGUUAGUACCCACCAGACAACAGACACAACUACUGAACAAAAUUCCACUGUCAAUGCUAAUGUAGAACUGGAUAAAGUUUUCUUGAAGUCUAGAGAUUCUAUUCUUAAAAUAGCUGAAUUAAUCCUGAGUGUGCUUGUAUUUCUUUGUAUAACUUCCAAUCCAUGGAACAGCUACGUUGGAGGAGGUUGGGUACAAUUCAACAGUAUGUCCUGUAUGAUUACUGUUCUAAUCUUAUGGAUCUUACUACUGUUCCGUAUUAUUUAUAAACUGCCAGGAUUUUGGAUGUUAUAUAUCCUGAUACACUAUGCCGUAUAUCUCGUGCUCUAUUUAAUUUCGUUUCUGGUAUGCGCCAUACAAGCUGGCAGAUAUAGAGAUAAUGGCGGAUUGAUAGCUUCAACAGUUUUCUGCUUUAUGAUAUUAAUUGUUCUGGCUGUUGAUACAUUCUUCCAAUUCCGCAGAUGGCAGGAAAUUGGAGCUAAAAUUACUGUGAGAACUACGACAGAAACAACACAUGAGACAGAAGCUGAGUACUAUUAGACUAAACAUCCGUUAUUGAUAGCACUUGUAAUCGUCGCUUAACUUGUUUCUGUAAAAAGUAGUUUCAACUUGUUUUAAGAUUUUAUUGGGAUUACAUUUUCUAGUCUGUU